rnacentral:rRNA from 1 species
UACGUAGGGGGCAAGCGUUGUCCGGAAUCAUUGGGCGUAAAGCGCGGGUAGGCGGCCUUGUAAGUCCGUUCUGAAAGCCCGGGGCUCAACCCCGGGAGGCGGAUGGAUACUGCAAGGCUCGAGUACGGAAGAGGCGAGUGGAAUUCCUGGUGUAGCGGUGAAAUGCGCAGAUAUCAGGAGGAACACCAAUUGCGAAGGCAGCUCGCUGGGACGUUACUGACGCUGAGACGCGAAAGCGUGGGGAGCAAACAGG